rnacentral:rRNA from 1 species
AGUACGACGGUGAAGGUGGAGCUUGCUCCACCGGAUCAGUGGCGAACGGGUGAGUAACACGUGAGCAAUCUGCCCCUGACUCUGGGAUAAGCGCUGGAAACGGCGUCUAAUACCGGAUACGAACUGCGAAGGCAUCUUCAGCAGUUGGAAAGAAUUUCGGUCAGGGAUGAGCUCGCGGCCUAUCAGCUUGUUGGUGAGGUAAUGGCUCACCAAGGCGUCGACGGGUAGCCGGCCUGAGAGGGUGACCGGCCACACUGGGACUGAGACACGGCCCAGACUCCUACGGGAGGCAGCAGUGGGGAAUAUUGCACAAUGGGCGCAAGCCUGAUGCAGCAACGCCGCGUGAGGGACGACGGCCUUCGGGUUGUAAACCUCUUUUAGCAGGGAAGAAGCGAAAGUGACGGUACCUGCAGAAAAAGCGCCGGCUAACUACGUGCCAGCAGCCGCGGUAAUACGUAGGGCGCAAGCGUUAUCCGGAAUUAUUGGGCGUAAAGAGCUCGUAGGCGGUUUGUCGCGUCUGCUGUGAAAUCCCGAGGCUCAACCUCGGGUCUGCAGUGGGUACGGGCAGACUAGAGUGCGGUAGGGGAGAUUGGAAUUCCUGGUGUAGCGGUGGAAUGCGCAGAUAUCAGGAGGAACACCGAUGGCGAAGGCAGAUCUCUGGGCCGUAACUGACGCUGAGGAGCGAAAGGGUGGGGAGCAAACAGGCUUAGAUACCCUGGUAGUCCACCCCGUAAACGUUGGGAACUAGUUGUGGGGUCCAUUCCACGGAUUCCGUGACGCAGCUAACGCAUUAAGUUCCCCGCCUGGGGAGUACGGCCGCAAGGCUAAACUCAUGA